rnacentral:rRNA from 1 species
CCAUAUGACGUUGAAUGCACCGGUUCUCGUCCGAUCACGGAAGUUAAGCCAGGUCAGGACUAGUGAGUACUUCGAUGGGUGACUGCUUGGGAAACCUAGGUGGUGUAAGCA